UUUCUUCUUUAUCUUGGUUGGUUUCUCUCUUUAGUUAUUAUCUUUGAAUUAUUCAAACCAUAUCAUAGUCUUUGAAGGGCUUCUUUCUUUGUGGAAACUGCUGUGGGAUUAACUCGUUUCAGGUUUUCUUCGAUCUCUUCAGUUUGGGUUCUUGAAAUCUCAGGUUUUGUUGUUAUGAAGCUGGGCCGUUUUAAAAACAGUUAUUUUCGAGCUCUAGUGUGCAACAGAUAACAAUUUGAGGGGUUCUUUUAGCAAAAUUAUAUGGCUUUCUUCGUGAAAAUGAUGUUGGGUAGACAUGUUCUUAAGAUUUUAGUUGGCAACUGUCUUUGGUUGUUGCUUAGCUGUAGUUUGAGCUAUGGUACCGAGACUGAUAUUGCUUGCUUGAAGAGUAUAAAAGCCUCA
rnacentral:misc_RNA from 1 species